rnacentral:tmRNA from 1 species
GGGGAUGUACUUGGUUUCGACGGGUUGAGUACAAUUGUACGUCGCAUGUCGAGUGUUUCAAAUGUUCACUCGUAAAUCUCAAUAUUUGGCAAUCUAAUUGCAGACAAUAAUACAUACAGAUUAGCAGCUUAAUUGCGCCGAUCCACUCGAACCUGACUAAAGCCUGCAACGUCGGUUUUUGAGUGUCACCCAUUACAGGCUGGCUGAGUAACUCUUCUUAUUGUACUCAGUAAGAUUUAAUAAGAAUAAGGGAGAAACGCCUGUUGGUUGGCAACGUUCUCUACGAAAAUUCAAUAAUCAACUAAACAUGUAGUGAUCUAUGGUUUACCGAUUCGGACCCGGGUUCGACCCCCGGCAUCUCCACUU